rnacentral:rRNA from 1 species
AAACUCGAGCUAAUACUUUAUACGCCCUUUGGGGGAAAGCUUUAUGCGCUAUUGGAUGGGCCCGCGUUAGAUUAGUUUGUUGGUGAGGUAACGGCUCACCAAGGCUACGAUCUAUAGCUGGUCUGAGAGGAUGAUCAGCCACACUGGGACUGAGACACGGCCCAGACUCCUACGGGAGGCAGCAGUGGGGAAUAUUGGACAAUGGGGGCAACCCUGAUCCAGCGAUGCCGCGUGAGUGAUGAAGGCCCUAGGGUUGUAAAGCUCUUUUGUCAGGGAAGAUAAUGACGGUACCUGAAGAAUAAGAUCCG